AUUGAACGCUGGCGGCAUGCCUUACACAUGCAAGUCGAACGGCAGCACGGGAGCAAUCCUGGUGGCGAGUGGCGUACGGGUGAGUAAUAUAUCGGAACGUGCCCAGUCGUGGGGAUAACGUAGCGAAAGCUACGCUAAUACCGCAUACGAUCUAUGGAUGAAAGCGGGGGAUCGCAAGACCUCGCGCGAUUGGAGCGGCCGAUAUCAGAUUAGGUAGUUGGUGAGGUAAAGGCUCACCAAGCCGACGAUCUGUAGCUGGUCUGAGAGGACGACCAGCCACACUGGGACUGAGACACGGCCCAGACUCCUACGGGAGGCAGCAGUGGGGAAUUUUGGACAAUGGGCGCAAGCCUGAUCCAGCAAUGCCGCGUGCAGGAUGAAGGCCUU
rnacentral:rRNA from 1 species